rnacentral:ncRNA from 1 species
GAUCCGGGAGAGACCGUGAAAAUCACGGCGCCGAAGGGGUAGUGCGAGAGCUCUCAGGCAGAAGGACCGGAU